GUAAUGCCGGAUGCUCCAGUUGAUCGCAUGGUCUUCUGGGAAAGCUUUCGCGGUAUGGGAUGGGGUCGCGUCCUAUCAGCUUGACGGCGGGGUAACGGCCCACCGUGGCUUCGACGGGUAGCCGGCCUGAGAGGGCGACCGGCCACAUUGGGACUGAGAUACGGCCCAGACUCCUACGGGAGGCAGCAGUGGGGAAUAUUGCACAAUGGGCGCAAGCCUGAUGCAGCGACGCCGCGUGAGGGAUGGAGGCCUUCGGGUUGUAAACCUCUUUUAUCGGGGAGCAAGCGAGAGUGAGUUUACCCGUUGAAUAAGCACCGGCUAACUACGUGCCAGCAGCCGCGGUAAUACGUAGGGUGCAAGCGUUAUCCGGAAUUAUUGGGCGUAAAGGGCUCGUAGGCGGUUCGUCGCGUCCGGUGUGAAAGUCCAUCGCUUAACGGUGGAUCCGCGCCGGGUACGGGCGGGCUUGAGUGCGGUAGGGGAGACUGGAAUUCCCGGUGUAACGGUGGAAUGUGUAGAUAUCGGAAGAAGAACA
rnacentral:rRNA from 1 species